CUACUGUUCGAGGAAAACAAAUAAGGUGCAGCUUAGGCGAAAAGAAAAGCGUUUUAUUGCCAGUGUCUAAACUCCUAACAACGGAAUGUGUCUCUAAGACCUUGUGUGUGGAUACACGUGUGCUUAAAAACAGCCCCGCCUGUGUGUAUAGCACUUGCUGUGUGUCAACGCUUUACAGGAGCUAUUGCACUUAAGCCUCAGAACAACUUUAUGAGGAUGCAGACUUACAAGUGGAUUUUCCCGUAGGAUCUUCAUAGCCAGCCUAUUUUUCUUUGUUUUAGGCUUAUUUCUAACAGCCUUGUUUAUGUGUAUUAUUAUUCUCUCCUGGAUUGGAAUCAGAAAAUUGGACAGUGUUGUAGGUACUGAUUGAUGUAGGCUUGAUGAUAGCCACAAAGUGAAAAUUGACUGCACUACAAGAAAUGUUAAAGGAAGUCAUUCAGAUGGAAGGGAAAUGAUACCAGAUGGAAAUAUAGAUCUACACAAAGGAAUGAUGGACACUGGAAAAGUGUCCCUAUGAUGCACAACUCCAUUGGGCACUAUUUACAUUGUAAUGUAUGUAAAUGGCAUUUCCUGAAGCAGCAUUAAGAAGCUACAGAAUAUAUCUUCCAGCAGGACAGGCCUAUAUCUUUUUUUGGUUGACUCCAGCACCUAGCAAGUGUUUGACACACCAAUCAGGUUGGUUCCUGGAAGUAGAACUACUGUAUCAAAGAUCUGGACAUUUUUAAGACCCCAGAAAGCUACACCCUGGCUGAUUACAGAGGUGGUGCUGAAGGAAGCCUUUGGUGUUCAUUGCCUAAGAGGGCUACUUGGAGGGGUUCCCACAAGAGAAACCUUUUGUGAGGUGCUUUAACUUUUCAAAGCAUGAAGUCAUCUGUUGAUUUGUUUUCACAAUAUAUGGGUGAAGUUGGCAGGGUG